rnacentral:misc_RNA from 1 species
GUGAAUCAUCGAAUUUUUGAACGCAAAUUGCACUCUCUUGGGAGAGUAGGCCUGUUUGAGGGUCAGUAUUAUUAAAAAUCGAUGGUUUACUUCUUUGUGACGCUCCGGAGUUUGGGUUAUCUUAAGAGGCUGUAGGAGUUAUGAGACUUAGAAUUUACUUUUUUUAUGCAUUUUAUAUGAGUAUAAAUUUUUUUUUUUAUUGGUUGUUC